AUGAACGCUGGCGGCGUGCCUAAUACAUGCAAGUCGAGCGAACAGACGAGGAGCUUGCUCCUCUGACGUUAGCGGCGGACGGGUGAGUAACACGUGGAUAACCUACCUAUAAGACUGGGAUAACUUCGGGAAACCGGAGCUAAUACCGGAUAAUAUAUUGAACCGCAUGGUUCAAUAGUGAAAGACGGUUUUGCUGUCACUUAUAGAUGGAUCCGCGCCGCAUUAGCUAGUUGGUAAGGUAACGGCUUACCAAGGCAACGAUGCGUAGCCGACCUGAGAGGGUGAUCGGCCACACUGGAACUGAGACACGAUCCAGACUCCUACGGGAGGCAGCAGUAGGGAAUCUUCCGCAAAGGGCGAAAGCCUGACGGAGCAACGCCGCGUGAGUGAUGAAGGUCUUCGGAUCGUAAAACUCUGUUAUUAGGGAAGAACAAAUGUGUAAGUAACUAUGCACGUCUUGACGGUACCUAAUCAGAAAGCCACGGCUAACUACGUG
rnacentral:rRNA from 1 species